rnacentral:rRNA from 1 species
AGUGAACGCUGGCGGUAGGCUUAACACAUGCAAGUCGAACGGCAGCACAGUAAGAGCUUGCUCUUACGGGUGGCGAGUGGCGGACGGGUGAGGAAUACAUCGGAAUCUACUUUUUCGUGGGGGAUAACGUAGGGAAACUUACGCUAAUACCGCAUACGACCUACGGGUGAAAGCAGGGGAUCUUCGGACCUUGCGCGAUUGAAUGCGCCGAUGUCGGAUUAGCUAGUUGGCGGGGGAAAGGCCCACCAAGGCGACGAUCCGUAGCUGGUCUGAGAGGAUGGUCAGCCACACUGGAACUGAGACACGGUCCAGGCUCCUACGGGAGGCAGCAGUGGGGAAUGUUGGACAAUGGGCGCAAGCCUGAUCCAGCCGUACCGCGUGGGUGAAGAAGGCCUUCGGGUUGUAAAGCCCUUUUGUUGGGAAAGAAAAGCAGCAGGUUAAUACCCCGCUGUUCUGACGGUACCCAAAGAAUAAGCACCGGCUAACUUCGUG